UGUUUUCCAUUCCACCAUAGAAAUUACAUCAAAUACAAGAAAAGAUCCAGGAAGUAACAAAAGAAACAGAUGCCAAACUGAUGAAGCAUAUUCAAAGCACAAAUUAUACAGAGGAAGUGACAAAGUUUUACUUAAGUUUCGAAAGAAGACGCUAAAGAAGAAGUUUCUGGUAAUAAAGCAAUUUUUUAUUUGAAUUUAUAAAGAAAUAUUGUUGCUAAGAAUUUCAUAUAUAUUGUCAACAGACAAAUACUACAGCCAAAGCAAACUAAGCGGUUUAUGGAGUAAGGUUUGGCAGACGCAGAGAUACUAUUGAAGGUAAGAGUUCGUACUUUUAUAAUAUCCUAAUCAUUAAUUUAUUGAUGAAAUGUUUUAACAUAAGUAUAACAUAAGUUACGUUAUAAUCUUUACUUUAAUGUUUUAAUCUUAAAUUUCUUAACAUAUGGAUGAAAUGAUUUUACUUACCUUAUGUUCAAAUCUUUAGAAUUUCUUGAUAUCUGGUCGCAUGUAAUGUUGAAUCUGUGUUGAACAUGUGGCACAUCUCUUUUGUGUUUGGACUCCAUAUCGAUGACAUACCAUUGGUCAUGAUGAAUAAUAGAGAAAACAAAAUAAAGACUUAGAUCAAACUAAUACAAACUAACCUAUAGCAUAACAUUGAUUUAAGCAUUACUUUUCAGUAGAAUAGAUAACAUAAGUACAUAUGUAGAGCUAAACAAGUAUACCACAUAAGUAUAAAAAAUAGUAAAAUAGUUUUAAAAAUAUUUUAUGCAUGUUCCACAUUUAAGCCUAUGUUAAGAUUUACUUAUAUUUCUCACUCAUAUAAAGAUUUAAAAUAUAAAAUCUGUAAAUAAAAUUUUAGAUAGAUCUAUGAUAUAGAUCUAAAAAUAAAGAUAGAUAUAUGAUAUAGAUCUAAAAAUAACUUAUACUUCAAGACCUAUAGAAACAAAA
rnacentral:lncRNA from 1 species